AACCUCCGCAAUGUGAGAAAUCGCGACGGGGGGAUCCCAAGUGCCAUUCUUAACGGGAUGGCUUUUCAUUAGUGUAAAGAGCUUUUGGAAUAAGAGCUGGGCAAGACCGGUGCCAGCCGCCGCGGUAACACCGGCAGCUCUAGUGGUAACAAUUUUUAUUGGGCCUAAAGCGUCCGUAGCCGGUUUAAUAAGUCUCUGGUGAAAUCCUGCAGCUUAACUGUGGGAAUUGCUGGAGAUACUAUUAGACUUGAGACCGGGAGAGGUUAGAGGUACUCCCAGGGUAGAGGUGAAAUUCUGUAAUCCUGGGAGGACCGCCUGUUGCGAAGGCGUCUAACUGGAACGGUUCUGACGGUGAGGGACGAAAGUUAGGGGCGCGAACCGGAUUAGAUACCCGGGUAGUCCUAACUGUAAACGAUGCGGACUUGGUGUUGGGGUGGCUUUGAGCUGCUUCAGUGCCGAAGGGAAGCUGUUAAGUCCGCCGCCUGGGAGUACGGUCGCAAGACUGAAACUUAAAGGAAUU
rnacentral:rRNA from 1 species